rnacentral:rRNA from 1 species
AUGCAGUUUGCCAUCCAACGUCGUCCUGCAUCGGUCUGCAGACCAGUCUGCUUGUCUGUUUUCCCACAAAUCGGAAGCAAACUAGGUUGGGCUUUGCGGGAUUUUGAACCACCUCCACAUAGGACUCUGGCAUCCCCGACCCACUCAAAACCCCUCCUGGAACCCGUGUCUCCAUCCCUUUUGUCUUUCUCUACAUAUGCUUCCUCCCUCGCCACUGCUUUACCACCCCAGCCACCCGCCAAGCCCUUUCCGGACCUCCAUGACCUCCACUACUACACCCAGACGCCACACCGUUUGUCCUACACCGUCGGUCCACACCUCUCGUCCGUCAAUUGCACAAGUACCAUCCACCUCUACGAGGGGCACCACGCCCGGCAAGUGUUUGAUUAUGCGGAUGAACCAACGAUGAUGCACGCGGUCCUUAUAGACACGGAUCGUGCAAAUGAGCAUGUUCUCAACUUCGAGGGAUCUAUCAAGGGUCAACGAUUGCUGAAUCUGAAUAGGGCAUGGGGGCAUUUGACGCUUAUGGAUGACUACUUCGCCUCACAUAAGUCAAGCUCAAACAGGAUGAUUGCUGUGUUUUGGAAGAACUGGAUGCGCAUGAACCUCGUUGGGUUCUCGUGGCUCAGUAUUAUUUCUUUUUCAAACGCUGCAACCACCCCCAAAAAAGUUGCAGAAUAUUUCACCACACCUACCCGUCGAGCGAGCGCAGCCAGUGAAAACCACCGCACGCAGCCACGCACCCUCCAUCCACAGCUCACCUUCUUCCCCCCGGUGACCCACAGGCUUCCCCGCCUGCAACCUCCACUCCGCCGCUCGCCUCCCUCCUCCGGCGACCGAGCUUUCCCUCCGCCAGGCUCCUUCCCCGACGGCGUCCGCUCGACCCUCUCCUCCUCCCCCCAGCAGCCGCGCGCCCCUUCCUCGUCGGCGGCAGCGCACCACCGCCCAGAGACCUUCCUUUGCUGGCCCCGCGGCCCUCAACCAAGCCCCCUUCCCAGCCGGCGGCGGCGCCCCUCCCACCAGCCGCCUGCCCAGAUCGCGGGAAGCCGCCGCUUACGCCCAGGAUCCCCGCAAGCCACCGACGGGCACCGACGGGAUCCCCCCCUCGUCCGUCGUCCCACCUCACCUGCCUCCUACUCGCGACGCCCUCCCCCCUCUCGUUCCAUCGUGCCGACUGCGGCGACUGCGAGAUUGAGCGUCGGCGGCAGGAGCAUAUCCUUCAACGACGGCGGCACGAGCCAUAUCCUCUUCCACGGCGUCAACCCCUCUCCCCUCCCCCGGCUUCUCCCUUCUCCCACAGCCGCACACAACCAAUCACCGCCGCCUCAAACCUGA